rnacentral:rRNA from 1 species
AACGAUGAAUGUUAAAUAUGGGGAGUUUACUUUCUGUAUUACAGCUAACGCGUUAAACAUUCCGCCUGGGGACUACGGUCGCAAGAUUAAAACUCAAAGGAAUUGACGGGGACCCGCACAAGCGGUGGAGCAUGUGGUUUAAUUCGAUGCAACGCGAAAAACCUUACCACUUCUUGACAUGAAAAUCAUACCUAUUCGAAGGGAUAGGGUCGGUUCGGCCGGAUUUUACACAAGUGUUGCAUGGCUGUCGUCAGCUCGUGUCGUGAGAUGUUGGGUUAAGUCCCGCAACGAGCGCAACCCUCAUCCUUAGUUGCCAUCAGGUAAUGCUGAGUACUUUAAGGAAACUGCCAGUGAUAAGCUGGAGGAAGGUGGGGAUGAUGUCAAGUCAUCAUGGCCUUUAUGGAGUGGGCUACACACGUGCUACAAUGGUGUCUACAAUGGGCUGCAAGGUGCGCAAGCCUAAGCUAAUCCCUAAAAGACAUCUCAGUUCGGAUUGUACUCUGCAACUCGAGUACAUGAAGUUGGAAUCGCUAGUAAUCGUGGAUCAGCAUGCCACGGUGAAUACGUUCUCGGGUCUUGUACACACUGCCCGUCACGCCAUGGGAAUUGGUUUCACUCGA